rnacentral:rRNA from 1 species
AUGUGGAUUAAUUCGAUGCAACGCGAAAAACCUUACCUACCCUUGACAUGCUAGGAACUUGCCAGAGAUGGCUUGGUGCCCGAAAGGGAACCUAGACACAGGUGCUGCAUGGCUGUCGUCAGCUCGUGUCGUGAGAUGUUGGGUUAAGUCCCGCAACGAGCGCAACCCUUGCCAUUAGUUGCUACGAAAGGGGCACUCUAAUGGGACUGCCGGUGACAAACCGGAGGAAGGUGGGGAUGACGUCAAGUCCUCAUGGCCCUUAUAGGUGGGGCUACACACGUCAUACAAUGGCCGGUACAGAGGGUAGCCAACCCGCGAGGGGGAGCCAAUCCCACAAAGCCGGUCGUAGUCCGGAUCGCAGUCUGCAACUCGACUGCGUGAAGUCGGAAUCGCUAGUAAUCGCGGAUCAGCAUGUCGCGGUGAAUACGUUCCCGGGUCUU